UGGCCAUUGGACUUUCUGGGGAAGUGGUUUUUGUGUUGAUAAUAGCUGUAAUUACAAUGGUGGCUUUUCACACCCAUGAAAGCAGGUCAUUUUUUGUGGGAAUUAUCUGCGAUGUCUUCAACAUUAUCAUGUAUGCUUCACCACUCACCAUUGUGAAAAAAGUUAUAAGAACAAAGAGCGUAGAGUACAUGCCAUUCUAUCUCUCACUUGCCGGUUUCACUAAUGGCUGUAUCUGGGCUGCUUAUGCUCUCAUCAAGCUGGAUUAUUUUAUUCUGGUAAACCAAAUAUUUCUCUAUAAUAAUUUUGCACUGGUGCAAAAAACAUACAGAUGAUUUUGGAUUUGCUCUUGCAGAUAAGCAAUGGCCUUGGAGCACUGUUCAGUCUUCUGCAACUUAUUAUAUAUGGCGUGUACUAUAGAUCAACGCCUAGAAAGGGCCAAGAUAUCGAAAAGCGGCCGGAGGUUCAGCUCUCUACAGCUCCCACGGGUUAAAUUAAUCUAUCAUGCUGAUUUUUUUAGCACGAAAAACUAUAAAGACGAAGAGUUUGGAGUACACGUCAGUCUAUCUCUCAAUGGCCGGCUUUGUUAAUGGGUGCAUCUGGUCGGCUUGUGCUUUUCAUCAACUUGGACAAUUUUCAUUCCGAAAAUCCCCAGUGGCAAAUUUAAUCAUAGUAAAAGUGGUUUGACACAGGGCAAUAGCGAUGUUGAUGGUGAUGACGAGAGUGAUGAACAAAUGGAAGACCUUAAAACAUCCAAAACAUGCAAUUCAUACAUGUUGCAAUAUAUGCAUAGGGCUGAAACUCCUCCACUGAUUUCCUCUUAAUUAUUCGCCAAAAAGUUGGACUGUCAAAACAAUGUAAUUUUAAAAUCAGGCUAAUUAUCCAUUAACAAGAUUAACAGUUUUGAUAAGAAAACCAGGCGAGAGGAAGAGGCCGAAGGAGAUAACAUUACCUGCAUCAUAAAUAACCAAAUAUUUUCAUUAAACAAAAAGGUAACUGAAAACACACACCAAAAAAUAAAAAAAUCAUUGUUUUUUGUAGCAACAACACAAGUGAAAAACAAACCAAUGAUGCCGACGAUAUUGCGAGCAGUUUCAGCAUUAACCAUUAUGAGUGAGCUGCUUCUGUGACAGAGAUGGUGAAAUUUGUUUUGAAAAAUGAGAGGGCAUAUAUGUUGAUAAUGUGGAGUUGUUAAAAUAAAGCAAUAAUCUAUCACUUAUGCUCUCAUCAAGCUGGAUUAUUUUAUUCUGGUAAACCAAAUAUUUCUCUAUAAUAAUUUUGCACUGGUGCAAAAAACAGACAGAUGAUUUUGGUUUUGCUCUUGCAGAUAAGCAAUGGCCUUGGAGCACUGUUCGGUCUUCUGCAACUUAUUAUAUAUGGCGUGUACUAUAGAUCAACGCCUAGAACGGGCCAAGAUAUCGAAAAGCCGCCGGAGGUUCAGCUCUCUACAGCUCCCAGGGCUUAAAUUAAUCUAUCAUGCUGAUUUUUUUAGCAGUGAGUUCAAAAAAAUUUUAUGUGGUCCAUUAUUUCCAUUGAAAUCCAAAUUGGCAUAAAAUUUCAAUAAUAACACUUUGAAUAUUGGAUGUUA